rnacentral:rRNA from 1 species
UACGUAGGGUGCAAGCGUUGUCCGGAAUUAUUGGGCGUAAAGAGCUCGUAGGCGGUUCGUCGCGUCGGCUGUGAAAACCCGGAGCUCAACUCCGGGCCUGCAGUCGAUACGGGCGGACUUGAGUGUUGCAGGGGAGACUGGAAUUCCUGGUGUAGCGGUGGAAUGCGUAGAGAUCCGGAAGAACACCGGUGGCGAAGGCGGCCUGCUGGGAUCUUGCUGACGCUGAGGCGCGACAGCGUGGGGAGCAAACAGG